AGGGUUUUAUGCACAAAUAAGUUCGGAAAUUACUAGUGAAUUUCCGGGUGUGACAUCCAAGAAAAGAAAAGUGGGUAGGCAAAGAAAGAAUAGGAUGCCAUCUGCUCUUGAGAAGGGCAAGGGGAAGGCUACAAGGCAAAUUAAGUGCCCAGAAUGUGGUGUCUUUGGACACUGGAAGGGAAGUGCUAGAUGUGAACUAACUGGCACAAAAAGAGGUGUGCUGCAUUUUCAUCUCAAUUAUUAUUCAUUUUCUUGCUGUUAUAUGCUAACUGUUUUUCUUUUGGCAGGAAGAGGAACAAGAAAACAACAACAAAGGUGGGAAGGAAGAAAUCAAAGGGUGUUAGUGAUGAACAAGUAACUACACCAAGAACAAGAGCAGUUGCAGCUAGAGAAGGAGCUGCAGAAACACAAGUGCAGCCAUCACAAACAAGCAGCCCUGGACCAGUCACUAGGAGGAGGUUGGCAUUGGAGCUUGACCAAAGCUCUCAAGUGCAGCCAUCACAAACAAGCAGCAGCCCUGGACCAGUCACAAGGAGGAGGUUCGCAUUGGAGCUUGACCAAAGCUCUCAAGUAGCUCCAGCUAUAGUGGAGCCACCCAAGAAGCUUACACCCAGAAAGAAGCUCGCAAGCAAGAAGAAAAGUGCAACACCACCUAGACUUUUGGAUUGAAAUUUGUCAACCUGCUAGUGAAAUUGGUUAUUUGUGGUCUACUAUGGC